rnacentral:rRNA from 1 species
UACGAAGGGUGCAAGCGUUACUCGGAAUUACUGGGCGUAAAGCGUGCGUAGGUGGUUCGUUAAGUCUGAUGUGAAAGCCCUGGGCUCAACCUGGGAAUGGCAUUGGAAACUGGCGACCUAGAGUGCGGUAGAGGGUAGUGGAAUUCCCGGUGUAGCAGUGAAAUGCGUAGAGAUCGGGAGGAACAUCUGUGGCGAAGGCGACUGCCUGGACCAGCACUGACACUGAGGCACGAAAGCGUGGGGAGCAAGCAGG